rnacentral:lncRNA from 1 species
ACGGGCUUUUCCGGAUAUCUUCCACUCCUUGUCUCGAAGUUUGGUUCGUUGAAUUUUCCCUGUGACAGUCUUGGGUAGGUUCAAGACAAACUCUAUCUGUUGAAAAACAAAUCAGUCCAGGGUGGGUGAUCUGUGACGACAGUGGGGGAUACUGAGAUGGAAAAAGUAUCUUCUUAGUGGCUGAUAUAAGAAUUCUUCUAUAAGUCAAGCCUGACUUUGUUGAGAAGAGUUUGUUCAAAACACAAUGAAAUGGAGCAGAGGUCAGCAAACUAUGGCCUGCAGGCAAAAUACAGCCCACUUCCUGUUUUUGUCAAUAAAGUUUAAUUGAAACAGUCAUACCCAUGCAUUUAGAAACUGUCAACCUUUAGCAUUGCCUGGGCAAAGUUGAGUAGUUGCAACAAAGACCACAUAGCCUAAAAUAUUUACUAUUUGGGCCCCAAAGGGUAGAUAGAGAGUGGAUGAAAGCCACAGGA